rnacentral:lncRNA from 1 species
AAAAAGAGAAUGAAAAAGAGCAAAAAGAGAUUGAGAGUGAAAAGGAAUGUGAAACAGAAAAGAAAAUUGAAAAAGAAGUUGAAGAAAGAAGAGAAAAUGAAUUAGAAAAAGAAACAAAAGAAAAAGACGUGGAAAGGGUAGUGAGGAAUGUUUCCACUAACCAAGAUAUGAAUUUUUCUUGUGUUGCUACUUUUCAGGUUCCCGAAAGAUCGAAAGAUAACUUUCAACUUCAAUACCUCUCAAAUGAAAGAUAACUUUCAACUUCAAUACCUCUCAAAUGAAAGACGCUUUCAUAC